AUGGGUCUCAGAAUGAAAUUUUCCCAGGAGCCUGCACCUAGAUCACCCUCUUGCACCUCGAGGGACAAGAGCUGGCACGUCCCAGGGCCAGCCCGAGGAGCCGGGUGGGGGCUGCUGGGUGUCCCUGGGAUGGGGCUGAGCGUGUCAGUGAUCGGGGCUGCUGUGAGCCCUCAAGGACCCGGCGGGAACUGCGGAUUUCCACCAGGGGAGCAGCGGGGCCGGGGCUGGCCCGGUGGGGAACCCCCCGGAGCUUCCAUCAGUGGCUGCCAGAGCCAAUCUAGGGCAGGAUGGAAAUGCACAACUGAUUGGAUCGACUUCAACAAACACCUUUCCCCCCUUCUUUCCACUUCUCUUCCUCCCCAGCUCCAGCAGCUCCUCUCUCGGCGCUGCUCAUCUCCCUUUGUGCACCUCUUACCCGCACUCUCCUCUCUAAACAGGUGCAGUUGCCACUCAAUAGACUUUAAUUACCACUUCAAGGGCUCUCACCGGGGUCUGCGGGAGGGUGGAGAUGAAUUUUCCCGAGGAUUAUGCGUGUGGCUGAGUUCUCUUCAGUCAGAUGGUGAUACUGCUGCCAGCCAGGAUCCUUCGAGAGAUCGGUUCUUCGGUUCUCUGUUCGUGUUAACAAAAAGGAAAACUGCUGCUGAAGGGAAAAAAACAACCCAGCCAUUACCUGGAUUAAUUAGCAGGACAGCAAAUGGGUCUGGAGAAAAGCAUUACAGAAAAUUUACAGCCCAGGAGUCUCAGCUGGGCUUCCAAACUGUUAUUCCUUGCAAAUCAGAAGUGGAGAGCUCAGCAUCUCGGAAGAUUUCUGUGGGAGACUGGGCUCUAAAAAUACAAGUUGUUUUUAACCACUUUACCUUUUUUUUGCUCCGUGCUCUUCCCAUCACGGCUCACUGGAGAGAUGUGCUGUUAAUGCAUCCUGCUGGGACCCUGGGGAUUCCUCCCAGGGAAUGGUGGGUUCAUUCUGGCUUCAGCAGUCUGCCUGUGAUGGAGGAAUUAUUCCCAGUGUUUAACUAG
rnacentral:lncRNA from 1 species